UCAAUAUGGACGACAGCUUUCACCAAUGGCUAUCAAGCAGUUUCUAAAGAAUCGUUUCAUUUCUUUCUAUUAUUUUUGUGUGAUCAGAGCUGAAAUUGCGCGAUAAAAUACUUCCAGAAAAGUGAUAAUUGUGUAAGAAAAUAUAAUUAAAGCGAACUUGAUAUUUUAUAAAAUAUGGAGUAUACAUAUAAAUAGUGAAUGAAUAUAAUUAUUGGUGAAAUGCUUUAUUGUUCAGUUUCAUUUUGAAUUUAUAGGUGAAAAAAAAGGAACAUAAUUAUUGGAGAAUAUGUUUUAUCUUUUCAAUUAUUACUACGACUAUAUUGGAGAUAUUCACAUAGUAUUAAAUUGUGAUUUCAGUUUGGAAAAUAUAAAAUAUUAUGGUGUCAUUAUUGGUCAGUACAAUGUAUUGUAAUUCAUAUUAUGCAACAUGAUCGGAUUAAAUUUCAAACAAUUUGGAAAUAUUUAUGGUGAUGAAAUAUAUUUGUUGAUAUUACUAUACAUAUUAAUAGGAAUUAACUUUCAACACAAAUUGGAACAUACAUAGAUACAACGACAGAAUAUGGUUAUUGUUGGGUACGUUUCAGCACAAACUAUCAAACAGGAAUCUAGUGUUCCAUUCAAUUUGGAAUAAAGUGGAGGGAUAUAGUUAUUGGUCCUCCGAACAAAAACUCAGCAUGUGUCUUGCACACUUUGAAUGCCUUGCUGUUAAAAAUCCGAAGAUAUGCAGAUAUUUUGAAAGAAAAAAAACAACAACACAGUUUAUUACUCUCCAUAACGGCGAACUUCAACAACCACAUGGAUUCUGCACACAAAAAAACCGACUGGACGUAACAGAUCAAGCAAGGAAUUAUCACAAUAUGAAAAAUAAAACGAUCCGAAUAACAUCAGUUAGUUACAAGACGAAAACAAGCAUGGACGUUGCAGGUGGAGAAAAACAAUUAAUAUGCACGCCGUCUUUCUCAAAUGGCAUUAAGAAAAGCGUACGACAAUCUGUUUCACCUGGCAAUUAUUUGCUAAGGGUCAGAAAUGAAAGUAUCGCGAGGAAGAAAAUGGGCUUUUGUUAUGAGAUAUUACAUGAUUAGACUAUACCCUCAAACAGGAAUACAAUUUAGGAAUAUAAAUAUAGAGACGGAGUGUAAUCAUUUGUGAGUAGGUUUGAUUAUAAUAAUAAAUAUGUUUUCAAAUUUGAUUUAAUAUAUCAACGAAGUUUAAAAUAUACAUAGAUCUAGUGAAGGAAAAUUAUUAUUUGUGAGUAUGUUUUAUAAUAAUAUUUUUUUGUGAUAUCAAAUUGGAUCUAAUUUCAAUACAAUCUGGAGUAUACACAGACAAAGUGAAGGAAUAUAACUAAGUGUGAUAUUCAGAAUGGAUUUAAUUUGCAACACAAUUUGGAAUAUACAACAAUAAAGUAAAGGAAUAUAAUUAAUGGUGAUUUGGUUUUUUGUGAUCAUUUAAAUUCAAAGCGGAUUGAAUGUACAAUACAAUUUGGAAUAUAAACAUACACAGCAAAGAAAUAUAAUUAUUUGUGAUAUUUUAAUCGGAUUUAAUUGUCAAUACAAUUCGAAAUAUUAUAUUUUACUGACGAUGUCAAUAUUUAAUACAAAUUGGAUUGUGAAUAGCUAUAAGAAAGGAAUAUAAAUAUCGGUGAGUAAGUUUCAUUCUGAUUAUUGAUUUAAUAUAUAUAAUAUGGUAUAAUUCUCAAAACUUUAGGAAUAAAAUUGAUAUUAUCAAGGAAUAUUUUUAUCAAUGAGCCUUAGUUCUAAUCAUUAUAUAAAUGUCAAUAGAAUUUAAGGUCAAAUACGAAAAUUCUUCUCGGAAUAAAUACAUUAGGAAGGCUAAGAAUAUCAUCAUGGACUGAAAGUGAAGGACAUGCCUUUCCUUAAAGUAAAAUAAGAUUCACUUUUGCAAAAGUAUGUAUAGCGUUAGGAACAAUCAUGUAUUAACGGGUUAAAAUAAAUAUGUGUUCGGCUCUACUUUUAUCUAUGUAUGAACUUAGACCAUUUGAUUAUAUUUUCGGCACUUGUAUGUUUUCUCUCAAGGAAUACUGUCAGGUUUUAAGAUUGUAGGUACAUUACACGUUUUAUUGAAUUUUAAUCGAUAUUACUUUGAUCAUGUAAGUGGACUAAGGCAUGUCCUGUCAUUCUUAUCAGAUAUAUCGAAAGCAAAUUCUGUGAUAUGCUGAAUAUGAAUUAGGUGUUGUAAACUUACAAAAAGAACAUGUUCGGUCCUAAGUUAGAAAAUAGACCAAGUUGUCAUUAUUUAAUAAAACAAUCAAAUUUAGUACAUUUAAAUAGAAACGGAAACAAGUGAUAGUUUCUUGUUUUAUUUGAAUAAUAGCAUUUAUAAAACAGAAAGAAAAGAAAAUAGAAUGAUAAAUGAUUUUAUUUAUUUUAUAUUGGCAAAGAUAUACAAUGUAGAUAAUACAAGAUAUAAUAAAACAGGAGUGAACAUUACAUUAUGCAUCUUUUUAAAAAUUUGAAUUUAAAAUUCUGAGAAUGUCAGAAAUAACUAUGAGUUAAUUCUUUCUCCUCUGACAUUUUUUCUACUGAUAGUAUCCGCGGCACUGUUUGAAGAUCACAAAUAUUGUAAUUGUUUGGUUAUUUUUGUUAUUUUGACUACAUAUUGAACUAAUUUGUAACAUGUACUACAAAAUAAUAUUGCAGAAAUUAACGUAGA
rnacentral:lncRNA from 1 species